rnacentral:rRNA from 1 species
UACGUAGGGUGCAAGCGUUAAUCGGAAUUACUGGGCGUAAAGCGUGCGCAGGCGGUGAUGUAAGACAGAUGUGAAAUCCCCGGGCUCAACCUGGGAACUGCAUUUGUGACUGCAUCGCUGGAGUGCGGCAGAGGGGGAUGGAAUUCCGCGUGUAGCAGUGAAAUGCGUAGAUAUGCGGAGGAACACCGAUGGCGAAGGCAAUCCCCUGGACCUGUACUGACGCUCAUGCACGAAAGCGUGGGGAGCAAACAGG